GACCGCGUGGCGCAGUGGUAGAGCGCUAGCCUUCGGGGAGAUAGGCCGGGGGUUCGAACCCCCAUGAUGUCA